CGCGUAGGCGGGUCGCCAAGUUGGGGGUGAAAGCCCGGGGCUCAACCUCGGAAUUGCCUUCAAAACUGGCGACCUAGAGUAUGGCAGAGGUGUGUGGAACUCCGAGUGUAGAGGUGAAAUUCGUAGAUAUUCGGAAGAACACCAGUGGCGAAGGCGACACACUGGGCCAUUACUGACGCUGAGGCGCGAAAGCGUGGGGAGCAAACAGGAUUAGAUACCCUGGUAGUCCACGCCGUAAACGAUGAGUGCUAGUUGUCGGCAUGCAUGCAUGUCGGUGACGCAGCUAACGCAUUAAGCACUCCGCCUGGGGAGUACGGUCGCAAGAUUAAAA
rnacentral:rRNA from 1 species